UUAUUUAUUCAUUCAUUCUCUCCUUGCCCUGACUCAGUCUGUCUGGAGGUUUCUUUCUGUUUCUAGGAGUUGAUAUUCUCCACUGUCACCCCAUGCUUGCUUAGUUAUUAGUUGUAUGGGGCAGUCAUGUUUUCUCACUGGAUCAUGUAGAUGUAGAUUUUUUUUUCUCCUUUGUGCAUAAACAUGGGAGAAAAUUGCAUAUUGUGUUUACUUGUGUUGACUCUGAAACACUGAAGUGUGAUGAACAUGUAAAGAAAAAAGGACUCAGGAAGGGGCAGAUGUUUUUUCACACGGCUGCAUGGUCUAGAGCAAAUGUGUCUUUUUGAUGACCAAAACAAUGAAGAAAAAAUAGGAUACAAGGGCUGCACAGUGGGAUGGUUUUUAACAGUGUUGCCCUGCAGAAAGAAAAUCCUGAGUUUCAGUGAGAUGACUGCUGCAGACAGGGAGCAGCUGCAUAUGAGUUUCUGUCCUAACCUGAAGGUGGAGUGUGGUUUUGAGUUUGAGUGUUUUGAGUUUGUUGCUUUUCUUAAAAGUCUAUUGGCAGCCCAGAAGAAGUUUAUUCAAAUUUUAUAUUUCAACACUUUCACAACCAUUCAAAUGUAUGACAUUAAUGUUGUUUUUUUUCAUGUUGUCAUAUAACCUGCUUCUUGUUUUGACCCACACAAUUAAAAAACUGUGAAUCAUCUGCUGCAGUUGUUGGAGGUCCUCAGUUGUUAGUGACAAUAGUAGUGGAGGGCCUGCAACACACAGCCGCAGGAGCAGCAUUCAGGAAGGAUCUUUGAAGAUAACAAGCUACUACUCCUGCUCAUUAUCUUCAAAGGACAAGCAGAUCUAAAGAUCCAGACUGUGUUUUACUAAAUGAACGUGCCGGUGGGGAGUUCUUCAGAUGAACGAUCAGUCCAGCCGCUGCAGUCCUCUUUCACUCUGCACUGAGUCCAACAAACCAAACCCUUUGAUCAACCUGUUCCCCUCUUCACCUGUGGUGGCACUGCACCAGGAACCACUGAAGGAAGCAACACAAAAGCCUCUGAAGAAGACACAACUUCCUUCGUCAUGAAAUGUUACAAAAAUGGAGUGGUGUAAAUCUUUAGCAGUUGCAGGAUUUCUCCGUUUACGUUUUCAAAAGACCACGAGCCAUUUCUAAAGCAAGACCUAGACACAAAUGUCUGUUUUGUCUGCAUUUACCCAGAAUGCCCUGCAUUGUAAGGUAUGCUUGGCAUUCACAUGUGCAUUCGAAUGACACCAGAGUUCACUUGAAGUGAACCCAGAGCGAGGUUUUUAGGCUGUUUUCCACAUCAGAGUUUCUUUACACAUUCACACCUCCACAGAUGAACCAGGAAACAAACUGGAGUUUGAUUAAAGAGGGCUAAACACGGCUGGGGUGAGUGCACCAUUAGGCACCUACAUGCGCUAGCAACUAGCAGGAAAAAAGUUUUGUCAUGGCAGGAAUCUGACCCCAGCUGUUCAUUCAGCACACCUCACAGCCGCAGCAGGCACUGGCCGAUUUAAAAAUGUGUGUUUGCUCCUUCAUUGCUGGUGUAGAUCUGCCAUUUACCAUCGCUCCUCCACUCAUAGGUUUAUGCAAGACCUUAACGCCCUCACACAUCUGUUUUGAGGCUGCAUGCUAACUAUGUAAUCACACAUGGUAUUUCACCAGAGUUAGAGAAAAGCUUAUCCAAAAAGCUAAAUCAGGGCAUGUUUUCACUCAACAUCAAUAACAGUAAGAAUGACAGUUCAUGAAGAGGAUACAGGCUGCAUCGCCUCAGCAUUGAUGCUGGAAGUAAAAGCUGACCUGCUGUCAUAUGUAAAAACUGACACUGUUUGGGAAGCAGACGUUACAGAAACCCAAAGACGCUUUAUGACAACAGUGACGACCAUUAAGACUGUCAUUAGUGUUCAUGUCAUGUUCAUGUCGCCCUUCAAAUAAAGUGCUACCAUCGUUUGGUCAUUUUUUGUCACUGGUCAAUGGAAAGCUAAUUUCUUCUGGCAACUUUACAGCUUUAGUAACUUUUAUUGUGAACACAGUAAGAGCAAUAGGCAGGCAGUGAAUUGACUUGUUAUUCAUAGGGACGGAUUACUGAGCAAGCCUACCAGGCUCAGGGGCCUAAGAGCUCCAGGGGCCCUAAAGCCUGGGGCUCUGCCCAAAGUAUGUACUGUAACAUAAACUCAUGUUGGGUUUGUCUGUUGUCCAUUUGUAUCCACAAAGUUCACCAGAAUCCAUCAGUUAAGGUCUGUUUUCCCAAAACGUUCUCCCAGAGAAAACUCGUAGAUCUCCCCCUUGACAAUAAUGUCUGGAUGACGAAGGUUACACACAAAAAAUGUUUUAUACAUCUGCACCCAGAAGCCCACAAGACCAUAAACCGCCCAUGGAUUAAAAGGCUUAUUUUUAUAUAAUAUGCAUUAAAAGUGUAUCACAUAUAGCAUCCCCUGCCCGCCUACAGGGCAGAGAAAAAAGUUCAGACUCAGGAUAUUUUUCCACUAUCAUCCCUGUUUUCAUGCUUCAGGCAUUCAUCGGGGUCGUAUAAUUUUCUGGGGUCUGUUCUGACAGCAGCUCUUUAUUUAUUUCCUGAAUGUAUCCUUAAACUAUCCAUCGUUGUGUCUAAUCUUCUCAGAAGAUUAAACAAUGAGAAAAUGUUUUUUACAGCUGGUCACCUAAACAACUCGGGUGAUGAGAGUAAGUCUGGCUAUGAGCAACAGGAUCCUGUCUGAUCAGCCUUUGUUUUGUUUUUGUCCAAAUGAUGAUUUGUUUUCUCUGAAAAUAUUCUGUGCUUCCUUAACCUCCUCAUAGCUAGACUGCAUGUUUUACCAAAGUGCCCCUCCUGUUGACCGUCCUGCUUUAUGGCGUUCGGCUUUGGCAUUCUCUGUUCAUUUGCUGACCUGGAAAUGUGUGAAAACAGAUGCAGAUGAGAUCUUUAGACCCAACAUCCCAUAUUCUGGAGAUUGGGAAGAUGGCAUUUCCAACAUUCAUGGGGCAA